rnacentral:lncRNA from 1 species
UGGCCAGAGUAAAAAGGUUGCUCGAUUUCCAGUUUAUCUGAGAAUUGGAAAAGUAGGAAAUUAAUAAUAGUUUAUUCAAGCUCAAAUUAAUAAAUAUUGUUGAUGAUGAAUCUAGUCGAGUUGAUUUGUCGGCUUGCAACCAGACCUCCAUGUCAGUAUUUAAAUUUAUAUGUAGGAGAGCGGUUUGUCAAUCUCUUGAAUUUUCAGCAGGAAUCCACGAACAGAAAUCAAUAAUAGGCAAUAAAAGUUUUAAAUCGAUAGAAGUUUUGAAUUUUCAGCAGGUUUGUCAAUUUGUCAAUCUCUUGAAUUUUCAGCAGAAAUCCAUGAACAAUUACUAUAACAGAAAUCAAUAAUAGGCAAUAGAAGUUUUUCUGGCGUUGAAAUUAAUUUUUUGGAUUUAUUAAAAAAAUAGAAAUAGUCCCUGGUUUUUAGUAUAACAGAAAAAGAAAGAAAACACGUCAAUAUAAAGAGAGUGAAAAGUAAAAGAUAGUCUAAAGAGAGAAAAGUUGAAUUUACUUAUUUUGAUUUUCUUCAACUUUUGUGAAGGUUAGAAUCCUCUUCCCCAUUGAUUUUACUUGUGAAAUGCAAAAUCAAAAGUCCUCCGGGCUCCCAAAUCCGAUGCAAUGAAUCACUUCAUUUUUAUGAAAAUUUAGAUACUAAGCUUGGAGUAUAAGUUGUGAAAACUGAAUGUCUUGUUGCUUCAUUUCAUCAUCCAUGGUGCAUUCUCUUCAUUCUCCGUAUCGGUUCUAAUUUUAUCGGAUGUUCCAAAGAGACCACGAUGGAUCCUCUGUUUCCAUUAUUAUUAAAAUUCUUUACAACAAUGAACCACAAGGUAAGACAACCCGGACCAACAUUUACAAAAAUUGAAGCACCAAGGAAAAAAGCCAAGUCCAUGACUAUUUAAUCUUCGAAAGUCCUAAAAAGUUAAAAAUGAAAAAUCGGGGUCAAAAUUGAACACUUCUAAGGUUUCCCAAGUUCAAUUUGGCUUCACCUGAUAACUCCUACGAUAUUAGCAUCUUAAUUUUACUGAUAUAAUGUUACAGCCAGCUUUAGUUUUUAUUUUCUUUAUUGGCCCCCCGUAGAACCAAAACCCUGGAUUGCUACCUACCCUAACUUUAUAUUUGUAUGUAAAUUUUCAACUAGCUGGGAUGUUAAAAAAUGUUAUAGGCUCGGACCCGAGCCCCAAACAAUUAGAAUUUGCAACAAAGCGACCGACGAUUUGAUAUCGCUGCACUGCACCACCAAUGUCCUGAACUUGAACAAAAUUUCGCAGCACAAUCAACCGUAGAUCUAGUGACAAUUGCUCAAGCCGUGCACUGGUUCGACCGAGUCAUUUUUAGUUUUACAAUCAAGUCAAAGGGGUACUCAAAAAAUCCAAUGGUGUAAUAGCUACGGUGGAGCGGCACAGUCCCAGAAGUGAACAUAUCCAUCGAUGCAGUUUUCAAACUGUUUUACACCGUUGAUUAUGAACCAUAUUGGGACAACGCUAAUCGGUGGAAAACAAGCACGACAGAUUUUCGUUUGAGCCUUCGGAUGGAGUGUUGUGUAAAUUAGUAAGUGUACAUACUAGUUGGCUCAAGUAAAAUAAUGAAGAGUAGAGUAUCAUCCCACGAAAAUUGUAUAUCUUAUUAGAUACCGAAAUUAUUCUAACUCUAAUUUAUUUGAAUAACCAAAUAAGUGAAUUUAAAUUAAAAACUAAAUAAAAUAACUAAAAAUUAAAUAAAGAUGCAAUUAGUAAUAGAAAUCACUAAAAGAGAUUUAGACACUAUGACAUCCGGUUUCACCAUAACUAAUUCAAUUUAAUCAUCCAUCUAUGUUAUUAAAGAUUAUUACUCAUGUUGACAGUGAAUUUCCCUAAUCUAUUCAAUAUCAUCUCCCGAAUAAUAUUAAAAAUAUUCCCACAUAUUAACUAACUAUAUCUCCAUGUAAAUUUAAAUAUGUAAAAAUUCAUUAAGCUCUAUAGAAAUUUUUAGAUAAAACUGCAUGAAUCACACUGGCGCAUGUUUGUCUUUCAUUCAAUUCACGGCAUUCAUUACAAAGAGCAAAAAUAUAUAAAUCUCCUCUUGGUCUCAUUACGUAUCCUCAAAUCAUUCAAAUAUUGGCCAGAUAUUUAAAAGUAUUAAGCACAAUAAUGAGCACUCAAUCAUGGAAUAAUAAAUUAAAAGUAACAUGGAUUUAUGAAAUUAAAUUUUCAUAAUUAGGCUACAUCGUAGCCCCAUUAAAAUAAAUUAGUUUAUAGGAAUAUAAAAGAAUUCAUAAACAUUUUAGGAAACAUUCAAGUACAACAAUAGAAAAGAGGAAAAGUAAAACCCAAGAAUUAAUCCGGCUUCUCUUUGGAUGCCUUGUAGCUGCUUCUCCUUGAUUUGUUUUUGCGCCUGCUUUGGCUUUUGCCCUGUUUUCUUCUUUGUAUAAUACUCAAUCGAUGGCCUUAAAAUCAUUAACCCAAAAGGAUUAAAAAACAAACUCAUGAAAGUAAGCCAAGCCGCUUUUAAAUUCUUAGGUCAUCAUAUUGCAAAUUCAAAUGCCCAAGUUCACUGCUGUACCGUACAUCCGCCUUGGCCGUACAGCAGUUAACCCUAAGAAAAAAAAGAUAAAAAACGCACGCGCACACACAAUUUUUAGAUUCCAAACUAGGCUCGAAAGUAUGAAUUUAUUUUUUAUGACUUUUAAUUUUGAAAAGCAACGUUGGGCAUUCUAAUUUGAGACUCGAUUCAUGUGAUGUUUACAUAUAUAGACAGUGAUUAAAUAAUUUUAUAAGUAAUAAAAUUUGUUAUUAAUAAAUCAGUAAUACUUGCUACCGGACUCAAGCGUGAACUCAAACUUUGAUACGUAACGGAAAGAGUACAGAAGGCGGAACCGCGGAUCGGUUCGAAAUAUGAAACGCACCGUUUCUUUUUAGUGGAGUAAAAUAAUACAGGAGUUUAAAACUUGAAACCUACGGUGUCAUUUCACAGUUUCAUCGAGAAUCUAGCAAUCUUGUUGUCCAUUUUAUUUACUUACAGUCAAAUUGACGAUUCUUUGUUGGCUUAUGAAAAGUGAAAACAGUCUCACUUUCAUAAUUUGAUUGAUUUGAAGAUCUAGGGUUUCAGAUUUAUCCAAUUUUCUACUCAGCUCGAAAAUCAAUCGAAAAUGAGUGAGGUCUUCGAAGGAUACGAGCGUCAGUACUGCGAGCUCUCAACAAAUCUCUCCAGAAAAUGCAGCUCAGCUUCUCUUCUACCAGAUGGAGGUAUUAUCACAACCAUUAUAGAUCUUUUAAUUAUAUAUGGUAUUUAACUGAUCUUCUGAGUUGUAUAACUUCUACUGAUGUUGAUUCGAUAUUACAGAUCAGAAGAAAGAAAAGUAUUCCGAGAUACAAUCUGGACUGGAUGACGCUGACGCUUUGGUACUGCGUUAAAAGAAUCUUGAUUUUUAUGUUUAGAAGUUUCUCUGUUUUGUAUUUAGGAUUUUUUUUUUCCUUUUUGGGGAUCAGAUUCGUAAAAUGGAUUUGGAGGCAAGAAGUUUGCAGCCGAAUGUAAAGGCUAUGCUGCUUGCUAAAUUAAGAGAAUACAAGUCAGAUUUGAAUAAGUUGAAGAGAGAGUUUAAAAGAAUUUCGUCAUCCGACGCUCACGAAGAGUUGCUGGAGUCUGGAAAAGCCGAUCCAAAUGUGGUACAUAGUCAUUUUUGUUUUGACUUUGCGUGAUUCAUGGUUACCAUGUUCAGCUUUAGAUUACUUGUUUUAUCUUGGAGAAGAGAUUGCUCAACUUGAUUUUAACUUUAAUCAAUUGGCGAAUGGUUGUCUGCUGCUAUAUGCAUUGAAAGUGUCUUUGAGAACAUGUUUGUUGAAAGGGUUUUUGAGAGAAUGUGCUUUUGUUUUUUUUUCCUCUCCCAUCUGAAAGUUGCUUUAUUAAAGGCAUCUAUCAACUGCUUCCCUUUGUGUAUUUAAUCCAAACACUAGAAAGCGGAUAUAAAACCCAUUUUAAGCAUAUAAGAACAUUUACCAAUUCCAAAGAGUUUCAAAUGCACCACUAAUGUUGCUUGGUGCCAGUUUUGCUGAUAGAUGAGAAUGGGCAGAAAAAUGUUUGUCGGUCAAUUACUUUUGGGAACUUUGACGGAACUAAUGAUAAGUGUGAAUUGUGAGUGCGAAUAGUCUGUUCAUGACAGCUUGUUGAAGGUUAUUUUUUUGUUUUUUGAAUUUUACCGGAAUAGAGAUUGAUUAGUUAGUUUGAUGCCUUGCAGUUUGAACAAUUUGCUUGCCAGAUGAAGUGGAGAUGUUUGUAUAUAUUCUGUAGACAAUUUCUAUGACUGAUAACUGAUGUUACAGGUUUCUGGGGAGCAGAGAGAAAGAUUGGCCAUGUCAGUUGAGAGAAUAAAUCAGUCAGGUGAAAGAAUUAGGGAGAGUAGAAGAGUCAUGCUAGAGACAGAGGAGCUUGGUAUCUCAAUUGUGGAAGAUCUGAAUCAACAGCGUGAAACUCUGUUAAAUUCUCGUAACAAGGUAUUCUUGCUUGCUUGACUUUUCUUUUUGGUUCAUAUGCAUUCUUAGAGGAGCUGCUGUACGGCCAAGGCGGAUGUACGGUACAGCAGAUUAUAUCAACAUAACUUUUAAAUUACAGCAACUAAUAUUUAUUAAGUACUUUAAUAUUAUAACUUUUAAAUUUCUGCAACCCAACCUCAAUUCUCAAUUCCAAAUCCAACCCUUAAUCGACAAAAUCCGUAUUUGGGAAAUGACAACCCACUCCGAUUACAUUAUUUUAAGAGUAAUGAUACAACCAUAAACUCUUAUACAAACUUAUUUUGUACAAACUGACGUGACAUUAAUUCAUUGGUUGAAUGAAAAUAUAAAUUAAUAAAAAUAAAUCAUGUGGACCAAGUGAUAUUUAAUUCAACCAAUCUUAUCAUAUCAUAUUAAUUUGUACAAAAUAAAUUUGUACGAGAGUUUGUGACUGUAUCAUUAUUUUUAUUUUAAAUCCUUCGUAGAGAAAUUGUUUUGAAAAAAUUAAUUUCUACAGGGGCAUUUUCGUAAUAAUGCAUAAUACUUUCAUUUUCUCUGCUGUCUCAACAGCCUCACUUCGCUUUCCUCGAUCACAUUUUUCAUUUUUCCCUUUCUCGUAGAGUCGUUCCUCGACGGAUCUCAGUCGUCGGACCCGGCAAGGUAAGCCAGGUGUCUCGAUCUCGCGUAUUAGUUCAUAGUCUACCUCUCCCCUUGCACAAUUCUCACUCAAUUUAUUUACCUCCAUCUGGGUAGUACAGUUAAUUUCUCCUUCGCAUUUUCCAGCAUUUAUAAGAACUUUAUGCAUUCAGUUAUCGCCUCGAGCUUUUAGUGCGGUUAUUAGUUGAAAUUUCUUCUGCUGGUUAGUUCCACUGAAACGACGUCAUUUAUUUCUUGUUAUAUUUUUAAUUUGUGAAUUAAGCAUAAAUUUCAUUCUGGCUUCUUUCGCUAUUUGUUUAUUUAUUUAUUUCUGCUAUAUUCAUACACAGGAGAUAAUUGAUCAUAACUACAAAAAAACAGGUGCUGGGGUGGGGUGGGGGGGAAAGAUUUGCUUUUAUUAGUUUGGCCAGAUGAAGCUUCUGGGCAAAGUCUAUGUUCUAACUGAAUGUAUAGAAGAGCGUGCUUUGUUCAAUUUGUCAAAGAGUUGACGAGUGUGCUCUGGUUUUAUUUAUUUUAUAUUUUCUUUUCCAAUCUUCUAGGGUAUGCAGGCAGUUGAUAGAUACACGUAAAGUUUAGUUUGAAGACAGAAUUGAUUACAAAAUGGGGCGUUUAAAGUUACAAUCUGGAAUCAAAGCUAUUGAGGAAGAACCCGAGGAGUAUGAUGCAACUUAUUCAAACAAAGCUACUUUAUCAUGCAUGAUUAAUUCAGAAGUAGGUGCCGUGUUGGCAGUGAUGAGACGAAAUAGAAGUGUAAGGUGGGGGGGUCAGUAUAUGUCAGGUGAUGAUCAGCUGGAGCAUUCUUUGAUCCAGUCUCUGAAGACAUUACGGAAACAAAUCUUCUCAUGGCAGCAUCCAUGGCAUACCAUUAACCCUGCUGCAUAUCUCCAGCCGUUUCUAGAUGUGAUUCGAUCGGAUGAAACUGGUGCACCAAUCACUAGUAUUGCUUUGUCUUCCGUGUACAAGAUUUUAUCUCUUGACGUGAUUGAUCAAAACAGCAUUAAUGUUGAAGAGGCUAUGCACUUGGUAGUAGAUGCUGUGACUAGCUGCAGAUUUGAAGUGACUGAUCCUGCAUCAGAGGAAGUGGUUCUGAUGAAGAUACUUCAGGUUCUUUUGGCUUGUAUGAAAAGCAAAGCAUCCAUCGUGUUGAGUAAUCAGCAUGUUUGCACCAUAGUAAACACUUGUUUCCGUAUAGUUCAUCAAGCUGGAAAUAAGGGUGAGUUGUCACAAAGGAUUGCUCGCCACACUAUGCAUGAACUUGUCAGGUGUAUUUUUUCACACCUUCCAGAUGUUGAUAACUCAGAACAUGCAUUGGUUAAUGGAGUUACUGCUGUCAAGCAGGAGGUAUAAACACAUGUUCCACCUUCCUCAUAUGUCUUUUAUUUUAUUUUGGGUUGGGGGGUUGGAAUUCAGAUGGCCAGAGUAAAAAGGUUGCUCGAUUUCCAGUUUAUCUGAGAAUUGGAAAAGUAGGAAAUUAAUAAUAGUUUAUUCAAGCUCAAAUUAAUACAUAUUGUUGAUGAUGAAUCUAGUCGAGUUGAUUUGUCGGCUUGCAACCAGACCUCCAUGUCAGUAUUUAAAUUUAUAUGUAGGAGAGCGGUUUGUCAAUCUCUUGAAUUUUCAGCAGGAAUCCACGAACUCAAACAAAAUUCUCCACGAACACUUACUAUAACAGAAAUCAAUAAUAGGCAAUAGAAGUUUUUCUGGCGUUGAAAUUAAUUUUUUGGAUUUAUUAAAAAAA